UUGGCAUAUUUUCAAAAGCGGAGGAAAAGAAACCAACAGGGAUUGCCCUAGUAACGGCGAGUGAAGCGGCAACAGCUCAAAUUUGAAAGCUGGCUCCGGCCCGCAUUGUAAUUUGCAGAGGAUGCUUCUGGUGAGGUGCCUUCCGAGUUCCCUGGAACGGGACGCCAUAGAGGGUGAGAGCCCCGUAUGGAUAGACACCAAACCUGUGUGAAGCUCCUUCAACGAGUCGAGUAGUUUGGGAAUGCUGCUCUAAAUGGGAGGUAAAUCUCUUCUAAAGCUAAAUACCGGCCAGAGACCGAUAGCGCACAAGUAGAGUGAUCGAAAGAUGAAAAGCACCUUGAAAAGGGGGUUAAACAGUACGUGAAAUUGUUGAAAGGGAAGCGCUUGUGACCAGACUUGCGCCGGGCAGCUCAUCAGGGGUUCUCCCCUGUGCACUCUGCCCGGCUCAGGCCAGCAUCGGUUCUCGUGGGAGGAUAAGAACGGUAGGAACGUGGCCCCCUUCCGGGGGGGUGUUAUAGCCUACCGUACGAUACUCCCGUGGGGACCGAGGUUCGCGCUCCGCAAGGAUGCUGGCGUAAUGGUCAUCAGCGACCCGUCUUGAACCACGCGGGACCAAA
rnacentral:rRNA from 1 species